GGGCCGUUAGCUCAGUUUGGUAGAGCAGCGGACUUUUAAUCCGUUGGUCGCGAGUUCGAUUCUCGCACGGCCCACCA
rnacentral:tRNA from 3 species